rnacentral:rRNA from 1 species
CCUACGGGUGGCUGCAGUGGGGAAUAUUGGACAAUGGGGGGAACCCUGAUCCAGCCAUGCCGCGUGUGUGAAGAAGGCCCUCGGGUUGUAAAGCACUUUCAGUGAGGAAGAACGCCUGGUGGUUAAUACCCAUCAGGAAAGACAUCACUCACAGAAGAAGCACCGGCUAACUCCGUGCCAGCAGCCGCGGUAAUACGGAGGGUGCGAGCGUUAAUCGGAAUUACUGGGCGUAAAGCGCGCGUAGGUGGCUUGAUAAGCCGGUUGUGAAAGCCCCGGGCUCAACCUGGGAACGGCAUCCGGAACUGUCAAGCUAGAGUGCAGGAGAGGAAGGUAGAAAUCCCGGUGUAGCGGUGAAAUGCGUAGAGAUCGGGAGGAAUACCAGUGGCGAAGGCGGCCUUCUGGACUGACACUGACACUGAGGUGCGAAAGCGUGGGUAGCAAACAGGAUUAGAUACCCUGGUAGUC